CAAAAGAGCGAGUUAGUGACCAAUAGAGACGUCAGGGAGAGUCUGAGCUCAACAAACACCAGGACGAGUAUUUCUUCCGCCCAGGGGGGUGGGGGUGAGGCCGAAGGCUGGGACUCCAAGCCCAGGCAGCGCCCCGCCCCCCCCCCCAAAGCAUCACCAUCUCGAUCAUCCCAACCAUUCCCAGCCCGGGGAAGAGGGUCCUGCGCCCCAGACCUCCCUCAGUCCCAUCACCAUUCACCCAGCCAUUGAUGCUUGAAACUUAGGGCUGAAUGGAUGAAAAUAUGUGCCAAGAACUGUGCUCCCUGUGACACCUCAGCAGCCUCAGCUGGUAUUGUUUUGCUGUCCAUUUCUCCCUAUAAUUUGAUUAACUUUUUCUUUAAGUGUUGAGAGACUUUAACAUAUAGUGUACCUAUUUAAGACAUGUUAUUUCUUUAUUUUUGAU
rnacentral:lncRNA from 1 species